UCCGACUUAGAGCCGGCAGUCUCUUAAGAAAAAUACAACUUAAGACAUGGGUUGCGCUCGUUUACGGACUUAACCGAACACCUCAAGGCACGAGCUGACGACAACCAUGCAGCACCUGUCACCGAGUUCCUUGCGGCACAAUCGCCUUUCGGCAAUCUUCUCGGGAUGUCAAGCCUAGGUGAGGUUCCUCGCUUACUGUCGAAUUAAACCAGAUGCUCCACCGCUUGUGCGGGUCCCCGUCUAUUCCUUUGAGUUUUAAUCUUGCGAUCGUACUACCCAGGCGGAUCACUUAUCGCGUUAGCUUAGUCGCUGAAGGGGUCGAAUCCUCCAACAACGAGUGAUCAUAGUUUAGGGCGUGGACUAC
rnacentral:misc_RNA from 1 species